CGGCCGCUGGAGACGAGCGGCGGCGGCAGGCGGCCAGCCCGGGUCUACCUCGCUCCGUGCAGGGCCGGGAGAGGGAUCCGCCAUAUUGGAGCUGGGGCCGAAGGUGCCUUGGAGCCGCGGCGCGAGGCGGGUGGAGGUGGCGGCCCUGGCCUGGAUCGGGGAGGAGUCGGCUCUGCCCUGGCCCGCAAGGCUGGGGAGCUAAUGAGCCUCUCUGGCUAGUCUCCUCCCCGUCCACUCCCUCCACUUUCUGCCGCUGGGAGCCGGCUGUGGCAGUGGCAGUGGCAGUGGCAGUGGCAGCGGCAGGAUGUUCUCCAAGAAGCCGCACGGGGACGUGAAGAAGUCCACCCAGAAGGUGCUAGACACCAAGAAGGACGCACUGACUCGCCUCAAGCACCUGCGCAUCGUCAUCGAGUUAAUGGUGGAACUGGCUGAAGAAGAUGCAUUCAUCCAGAUGCCUGAAUCCUAGUUCAGAGUUUAUCUCGAGCUGUCUUCCUGAUGCGUAUUUGUUUUGGAAAGUGAUGUUUAUUUAGUGAAAAAAAGAAUGCAGAAUCUAUUGAUCUUAAACAGUUUUUCGACAACAUUUUUUACAUAUAUACUAUGUGUUCUUUGAAAAUUUUGUGACUAUCGAAGCUAGUCUUAAACAGAAAGGUCACAAGUCUCAAAGAGAGGAACUGGAUGCUAUACUUUUUAUUUUUGAGAAAAUUUUACAACUUCUUCCAGAAAGAAUUCAUCAGCCAUGGCAGUUUCAUAAUAUUGGAUUGAUUUAAAGAAGCUACUUCACACAGGAGACUCCUUAAAGAUUAGGCGGGAAGGUGUUCGUCUUUUCUUACUAUGGUUGCAAGCUCUUCAGAAUAACUGUAGCAAAGAACAGCUCUGGAUGUUUUCAUGCUUAAUCCCUGGAUUUUCAGCACCACAGUCUGAACAUGGACCUCGAACUUUAGAUAAUCUCAUUAAUCCUCCACUCAACCUUUAAGAAACUCAAGUCACUAUAGAAGAAAUCACUCCUCUUGUCCCCCCACAAUCAGGAGAUAAAGGGCAAGAAGAUCUCACAAGCUAUUUUCUUGAAGCACUUCUAAAAUACAUAGUCAUUCAGGUAAAAAGUUUAGAAUGGAAGAACAAAGAAAACCAAGAAAGGGGAUUUUCAUUUUUGUUUUCACAUUUUAAGAAAUAUUACUUGCCUUAUAUUUUUCCAAACAUCUGUAAGGAAAACAGUUUAUAUCAUCCUAUACUUGACAUCCCGCAGAUGAGACCAAAGCCACAUUAUGUCAUGAUAAAGAAAGAUGCUGAAACCAAUGAAGCAAUCUAUUGUACAAAGGAGCCUUUCAUUAAGGCUCGUGUUAUUGUCAUUCGUUGGCUGGUUUCUUUCUGGCUGGAGCCAAAACCACAUACAGGACCUCAUAUUCCUGGGAUGGAAGGUGAAGUCUUGCCAAAGAAUAUUCAGAGAGCAGCUGCUAGUUUAGUAUCCAGAGAAGAAAGCAAAAAUGAUAAUGCUGAUAAAGCAGACAGAACUACAGAACCCGAACAGUCUCAUUCCAAUACAAGCACUCUCACGGAGCGAGAACCUAGCUCAUCUAGUCUCUGUAGUAUUGAUGAAGAACAUCUCACAGACAUUGAAAUAGUUCGCAGAGUUUUUUCUUCUAAAAGGAGUAAUGUAAACUUUGUGACAGAGAUAUUUCGUCAGGCAUUUUUAUUACCAAUUUGUGAAGCAGCAGCUAUGAGAAAAGUGGUAAAAGUAUAUCAAGAAUGGAUCCAACAAGAGGAAAAACCUUUGUUCAUGCAAGAGCCUGAAGAAAUUGUGAUCACUUCUUCAGACCUCCCUUGCAUUGAAAAUGUCACAGACCAUGAUAUUUCAAUGGAAGAAGGAGAAAAAAGAGAAGAGGAAAAUGGGACCAAUACUGCUGAUCAUGUUCGAAAUUCCAGUUGGGCAAAAAACGGCUCCUACCAAGGUGCUCUUCAUAACACCUCUGAAGAAGCCACAGAACAAAACAUACGAGCUGGUACCCAGGCAGUUUUGCAGGUGUUUAUUAUAAACUCAUCAAAUAUAUUUCUUCUUGAACCUGCAAAUGAAAUAAAAAAUCUUCUGGAUGAACACACAGAUAUGUGUAAACGCAUUCUUAACAUUUAUCGGUACAUGGUUGUACAAGUAUCAAUGGACAAAAAGACUUGGGAACACAUGCUGCUUGUGUUGCUCAGAGUCACGGAAUCUGUACUGAAGAUGCCAUCACAAGCUUUUCUACAGUUCCAAGGGAAAAAAAAUAUGACCUUGGCAGGUCGACUUGCAGGACCACUUUUCCAGACCCUUAUAGUUGCCUGGAUCAAAGCAAACCUAAAUGUGUACAUCUCCCGAGAACUUUGGGAUGACUUACUGUCAGUAUUGUCAUCGUUGACCUAUUGGGAAGAGUUGGCCACUGAGUGGUCACUGACUAUGGAGACAUUAACUAAAGUUUUAGCUAGGAAUUUAUAUAGUUUGGAUCUCAGUGAUUUACCAUUGGAUAAGCUGAGUGAACAGAAACAAAAAAAGCACAAAGGGAAAGGAGUUGGACAUGAAUUUCAGAAAGUUUCAGUUGACAAGUCAUUUUCUAGAGGAUGGAGUCGUGAUCAGCCUGGCCAAGCCCCAAUGAGACAGAGGAGUGCAACAACCACUGGUUCUCCAGGAACCGAAAAGGCGAGGAGUAUAGUACGGCAAAAAACUGUCGAUAUUGAUGAUGCUCAAAUACUUCCCCGCUCAACUAGAGUCAGACAUUUUUCACAAAGUGAAGAAACUGGAAAUGAAGUUUUUGGUGCUUUGAAUGAGGAGCAGCCAUUGCCUUGAAGUAGCAGCACUUCUGACAUCUUGGAACCAUUCACUGUUGAACGAGCCAAAGUCAAUAAAGAGGACAUGAGCCAAAAACUGCCUCCUCUUAAUAGUGAUAUUGGCAGCAGCAGUGCUAAUGUUCCUGAUCUGAUGGAUGAGUUUAUAGCAGAAUGACUUCGAAGUGGUAAUGCCUCGACUAUGACAAGAAGAGGAAGUAGUCCAGGCAGCCUGGAAAUUCCCAAAGACCUCCCUGAUAUUCUAAACAAGCAGAACCAGAUGCGCCCUAUUGAUGACCCAGGUGUGCCCUCAGAAUGGACUUCUCCUGCCAGUGCAGGGAGCAGUGAUCUUAUCAGCUCAGAUAGUCAUUCGGAUUCUUUCAGCGCUUUCCAAUAUGAUGGCCAAAAAUUUGACAAUUUUGGCUUUGGAGCCGACACUGGGGUUACGUCCUCUGCUGAUGUGGAUUCAGGUUCUGGCCAUCAUCAGAGUGCUGAAGAGCAGGAAGUGGCUAGUCUAACUACUCUUCAUAUAGAUUCUGAAACAAGCAGUCUUAAUCAGCAAGCUUUCUCUGCUGAAGUUGCAACUAUUACUGGUUCAGAAAGUGCUUCCCCAGUCCACUCACCUCUGUGCUCCAGGUCACAGACUCCUUCCCCUUCUACAUUGAAUAUAGAUCACAUGGAACAGAAGGAUCUGCAGCUCGAUGAGAAGCUCCACCACGCUGUUCUUCAGACACCAGAUGAUCUAGAAAUUAGUGAAUUUCCAUCAGAAUGUUGUAGUGUGAUGGCAGGAGGUACUCUGACUGGAUGGCAUGCUGAUGUUGCUACUGUAAUGUGGCGAAGAAUGCUAGGCAUUUUGGGAGAUGUAAAUUCAAUCAUGGAUCCUGAAAUACAUGCUCAAGUUUUUGAUUACCUCUGUGAACUUUGGCAGAAUCUAGCUAAGAUUAGAGAUAACCUCGGCAUUUCAGCUGAUAACCUGACCUCCCCUUCUCCACCAGUUUUAAUUCCUCCACUGAGAAUUCUUACACCUUGGCUUUUUAAGGCAACCAUGUUGACUGAUAAAUAUAAACAAGGUAAAUUACAUGCAUAUAAACUUAUUGGUAAUACAAUGAAAAGAAGACAAGAUGUUUCUCCAAAUAGAGAUUUUCUAACACAUUUCUACAAUAUAAUGCAUUGUGGAUUACUUCAUAUUGACCAGGAUAUUGUCAAUACAAUCAUCAAACACUGCUCACCUCAAUUUUUUUCACUUGGUUUGCCUGGUGCCACAAUGCUUAUUAUGGAUUUUAUUGUAGCAGCUGGUAGAGUGGCUUCUUCAGCUUUUCUCAAUGCACCAAGAGUAGAAGCACAAGUUCUUCUGGGAUCUUUGGUUUGCUUUCCCAACUUAUAUUGUGAACUGCCUUCUCUUCAUCCCAACAUUCCUGAUGUUGCUGUGUCUCAGUUUACAGAUGUUAAGGAACUUAUAAUCAAAACUGUAUUAAGCUCGGCAAGAGAUGAGCCCUCUGGUCCUGCACGAUGUGUAGCACUUUGUAGUUUAGGUAUUUGGAUUUGUGAAGAACUAGUCCAUGAGUCUCAUCAUCCUCAAAUUAAGGAAGCUCUGAAUGUGAUUUGUGUUUCCUUAAAGUUUACUAAUAAAACAGUAGCCCACGUAGCUUGUAACAUGCUUCACAUGCUGGUUCAUUAUGUACCUAGACUUCAGAUUUACCAGCCUGAUUCUCCCUUGAAAAUUAUUCAGAUCCUAAUAGCUACCAUCACCCAUCUUUUACCAAGUACAGAGGCUUCAUCUUAUGAAAUGGACAAGAGGUUGGUAGUAUCUUUACUUCUCUGCCUUCUGGACUGGAUCAUGGCCUUACCUCUAAAGACACUGCUCCAACCAUUUCAUGCUACGGGAGCAGAAAGCGAUAAAACAGAAAAAUCUGUUCUCAAUUGCAUUUAUAAGGUUUUACAUGGGUGUGUUUAUGGAGCUCAGUGUUUUAGCAAUCCAAGGUAUUUUCCCAUGAGCCUCUCUGAUUUGGCAUCUGUAGAUUAUGAUCCUUUUAUGCAUUUGGAAAGUCUGAAAGAGCCUGAGCCUCUGCGCUCUCCUGACUCAGAACGAUCUUCUAAACUCCAGCCAGUAACAGAAGUGAAAACUCAAAUGCAGCAUGGAUUAAUCUCUAUAGCAGCCCGCACUGUUAUUACACAUCUGGUAAAUCACCUGGGCCAUUAUCCAAUGAGCGGUGGUCCUGCUAUGCUAACAAGUCAGGUGUGUGAAAAUCACGACAAUCAUUACAGUGAAAGUACUGAACUUUCUCCUGAACUCUUUGAGAGUCCAAAUAUCCAGUUCUUUGUGUUAAUAAUACAACCUUAGUGUCCUGUAUCCAGAUCAGAUCAGAAGAGAAUAUGCCUGGAGGAGGUUUAUCUGCUGGCCUUGCAUCAGCCAAUUCAAAUGUCAGAAUCAUAGUACGUGAUCUCUCUGGAAAAUAUUCAUGGGAUUCUGCUAUACUGUAUGGCCCACCUCCUGUAAGUGGCUUGUCAGAACCUACAUCUUUCAUGCUUUCAUUGUCUCACCAAGAGAAGCCAGAAGAGCCUCCGACAUCUAAUGAAUGCUUAGAAGAUAUAACCGUAAAAGAUGGACUUUCCAGUUUAAAAGAUUUAGAGAAACUGUACCAACUUGGGAUACAAUAAGAGAUGAAGAAGAUGCUCUUGAUGAACUCUUGCAGUAUUUGGGUGUUACUAGUCCUGAAUGCUUACAGAGAACUGGAAUCUCACUUAAUAUUCCUGCUCCACAACCUGUGUGCAUUUCUGAAAAACAAGAAAGUGAUGUUAUUAAUGCUAUCCUUAAGCAACAUACAGAAGAAAAAGAAUUUGUUGAGAAGCACUUUAAUGACUUAAACAUGAAAGCUGUGGAACAAGAUGAACCAAUACCUCAAAAACCUCAGUCAGCAUUUUAUUAUUGCAGAUUGCUUCUUAGUAUAUUGGGAAUGAAUUCCUGGGACAAACGGAGGAGCUUUCAUCUCCUGAAGAAAAAUGAAAAGCUACUUAGAGAACUUAGGAACUUGGAUUCAAGGCAGUGCCGAGAGACACACAAGAUUGCAGUAUUUUAUGUUGCUGAAGGACAAGAAGACAAACACUCCAUUCUCACCAAUACAGGAGGAAGUCAAGCAUAUGAAGAUUUUGUAGCUGGUCUUGGUUUGGAGGUAAAUCUUACAAACCAUUGUGGUUUUAUGGGAGGACUACAAAAAAACAAAAGCACUGGAUUGACCACUCCAUAUUUUGCUACCUCUACAGUAGAAGUAAUAUUUCACAUGUCAACAAGAAUGCCUUCUGAUUCUGAUGAUUCUUUGACCAAAAAAUUGAGACAUUUGGGAAAUGAUGAAGUGCACAUUGUUUGGUCAGAGCAUACUAGAGACUACAGGAGAGGAAUUAUUCCCACAGAAUUUGGUGAUGUCCUUAUUGUAAUAUAUCCAAUGAAAAAUCACAUGUUCAGUAUUCAGAUAAUGAGAAAACCAGAGGUUCCCUUCUUUGGUCCCCUUUUUGAUGGUGCUAUUGUGAAUGGAAAGGUUCUACCCAUUAUGGUUAGAGCAACAGCUAUAAAUGCAAGCCGUGCUCUGAAAUCUCUGAUUCCAUUGUAUCAAAACUUCUAUGAGGAGAGAGCACGAUACCUGCAAACAAUUGUCCAGCACCACUUAGAACCAACAACAUUUGAAGAUUUUGCAGCACAGGUUUUUUCUCCAGCUCCCUACCACCAUUUACCAUCUGAUGCCGAUCAUUAAAUAUCAGUUCUGUUUAUCUGAAGGCUCCUACCCAGAGAUUCUACCCAGUGAAACUCCCACAGCAGCGCAGGUAGAUGGGGCUGACCUGGCCUCUCCAAUGUCUCCUCGAACUAGCAAAAGCCGCAUGUCCAUGAAGCUGCGUCGUUCCUCUGGCUCAGCCAAUAAAUCCUAAGGAGACAAGCAGCCCAGCAGUGAUCAGCAGUAGCCACCUUAGCAUGAACAUAGGGUUAACCCUUUCAGGCCUUCAUGUCUGCCAUAACAUGCAUGUUUCUUCCUGUACAUUUAUUUGAGAAAACACUGGAUUUAAAUAAUUUUAAAUAAUUUGUAGCUUAAUAUUAAAGAUUUAAGUUAUUUAUUGUUUCAUUUUUUUCCCACAAUCCAAGCUGCCAUAUUUUGAGGGCAGGGGGAGUUUUAUUCUACACCCUUUACCUUCCUAGAUAAUUAUGUCUAAGUAGUUUUAUCUUUAAUUUCAUGGUUAACUGUGAGCCAAAAUACAAUUGGACAAUUAGUCUCAUUAUUUAUUGUGCUCCAUUGCAACUUUAUGGUUCAAUAAAUAUAUAAUUUUUUACAAAUGUAAAAUUUUACAUUUAAGCAUUUGUAAAGUUACAGCAAAAGAUGUACCUGUUAAUACACAGAAUGUGUACAGAUUAUUUGUUAUGACAAUAAAACACUCAAAAUAAAUGGUCUUUAGCAUCUCAAAUUCCAACUGAAAUCAUUUUAGUAUUAACUCUUCUUCCCAAAGCAAUGUCUCAUUUCUUGGCUGUGCAGGUGAUGCCAUGUUAUAUCCAAUAACUAGAAAAAUCACUGUGCUGAACUUUUAUGUUUAGCUUCCAAGUAUUUUUCUAAUGUUUUGCAUUUCAAGUGGUAUCACUGUUAAAUGCCAUUUGUUUUCAGAUUGUGGCCUUUUAUUAUUGGCUGCUAGAUCCUGGUGUUUCUAUGUUCUUUUUUAAGCACCAAAAA